UCAGCCUGAAGGCGCCCGAUCUCGUCUGAUCUCGGAAGCUAAGCAGGGUCGGGCCUGGUUAGGAUCUUGGAUGGGAGACCACCUGGGAAUCCCGGGU
ensembl:rRNA 5S_rRNA 5S ribosomal RNA